ACGAACGCUGGCGGCGUGCCUAACACAUGCAAGUCGAACGGGGUUAAAUUCGACACCCGAGCGGUCAGGCCGUUGAGAAGAGGUUGCGCGAAUCAAUAUGAAGUAUUGAUUGAAGCGAAAAAAGCUUACCGAACAGAAGAAGAGGCAGGCACAACCGGAAGAAGGAACGGACUGAAAGCUGGGGGUUGGAUUUAACCUAGUGGCGGACGGGUGAGUAACGCGUGAGUAACCUGCCUUUCAGAGGGGGAUAACGUUCUGAAAAGAACGCUAAUACCGCAUAACAUGAAGCCAUCGCAUGGUGGUUUUAUCAAAGGAGCAAUCCGCUGAGAGAUGGACUCGCGUCCGAUUAGCCAGUUGGCGGGGUAACGGCCCACCAAAGCGACGAUCGGUAGCCGGACUGAGAGGUUGAACGGCCACAUUGGGACUGAGACACGGCCCAGACUCCUACGGGAGGCAGCAGUGGGGGAUAUUGCACAAUGGGGGAAACCCUGAUGCAGCAACGCCGCGUGAGGGAAGAAGGUUUUCGGAUUGUAAACCUCUGUUCUUAGUGACGAUAAUGACGGUAGCUAAGGAGAAAGCUCCGGCUAACUACGUGCCAGCAGCCGCGGUAAUACGUAGGGAGCAAGCGUUGUCCGGAUUUACUGGGUGUAAAGGGUGCGUAGGCGGCUAUGCAAGUCAGGCGUGAAAUCUGUGGGCUUAACCCACAAACUGCGCUUGAAACUGUGUGGCUUGAGUGAAGUAGAGGUAGGCGGAAUUCCCGGUGUAGCGGUGAAAUGCGUAGAGAUCGGGAGGAACACCAGUGGCGAAGGCGGCCUACUGGGCUUUAACUGACGCUGAAGCACGAAAGCAUGGGUAGCAAACAGGAUUAGAUACCCUGGUAGUCCAUGCCGUAAACGAUGAUUACUAGGUGUGGGGGGUCUGACCCCCUCCGUGCCGCAGUUAACACAAUAAGUAAUCCACCUGGGGAGUACGGCCGCAAGGUUGAAACUCAAAGGAAUUGACGGGGGCCCGCACAAGCAGUGGAGUAUGUGGUUUAAUUCGAAGCAACGCGAAGAACCUUACCAGGUCUUGACAUCCAUCUAAGGUUGUAGAGAUACGACUGUGCCCUUCGGGGAAAGAUGAGACAGGUGGUGCAUGGUUGUCGUCAGCUCGUGUCGUGAGAUGUUGGGUUAAGUCCCGCAACGAGCGCAACCCUUGUUUCUAGUUGCUACGCAAGAGCACUCUAGAGAGACUGCCGUUGACAAAACGGAGGAAGGUGGGGACGACGUCAAAUCAUCAUGCCCCUUAUGACCUGGGCCACACACGUACUACAAUGGCUGUUAACAGAGGGAAGCAAAGCCGCGAGGUGGAGCAAAACCCCAAAAACAGUCUCAGUUCGGAUCGCAGGCUGCAACCCGCCUGCGUGAAGUCGGAAUUGCUAGUAAUCGCGGAUCAGCAUGCCGCGGUGAAUACGUUCCCGGGCCUUGUACACACCGCCCGUCACACCAUGGGAGCCGGUAAUACCCGAAGCCAGUAGCUCAACCGCAAGGAGAGCGCUGUCGAAGGUAGGAUUGGCGACUGGGGUG
rnacentral:rRNA from 1 species